CCAGGGUUUUGUUUUUUCUGGUAGAACAGUUCACAAACUGUGAAAAUCCAGUCAGGUGUGUAGCAAUCAAGACAACCCUGGGUGUGAAACUCACACAUUCCUCACAGGAAAGUUUCCUUAUCUGAUCCCAGGACACAGGAUAUAAAUCUUUUCAGACUGGUUUGUACUUUCAGGUUACCUAAAUGACCCGACCGGAGGUUGACUAAACCUCUGACUCUUCACGAUUGGUCGAUUCGGAGAACAGAGACAGAGUUUUUAUUACCUUUCAAACUGACUCCAUUGCUGACCAUCUAAAUAAACAUUAACGUCUCAACCCAGAUCUCCCAUUUGAGAUUUAGCGUCUUAAAGUGUGUGAACAUACGGACCCCAGGAUAUGGGGGGACACUGACCUCCAGACCUCGGCCGUAAAACCCUGCUCGACCAUACACUGAUAAAGACUGCAUUCCUUUCCUUUGGUGAAAGAAUACAAAUGACUGAUCCUGACAUCUUAUGCAUUCAGCAAUGUGCUAAUCUGUCUAAUCAUGAAAUUUGUGUUAAAAUGAGAUGUUUCCCGUUUUUCUAUGUGCUCCAGAAGCAGAGUUAUCACUCUGACAGAAUAAAUCCUUUAUUCUUUUGUUUCUUUAGACCAACAGCUUUUCAGACUGUUUCAUGAACUUUUAAGAGUUAACUUUAUUGACUAUGAAUCAGAACUUUACUCUUAAGUAACAGAAAUGGUCUAGAAAUGUUUGGUUUAUAUUUUAGCUGUUUAUUUAGUAUUUUUAACCAUUAGGUGGUUAUAAUGUCAUUGAAUAACCUGAAUGUGAGUAUUUAGAAUCCAUUAUUAAUCAUGAAGUUCAUUCACAUGUGUUUACUCUUUUGUUGUUCACAGUUUCCAUGUGUUACUAUCUGUUUCAUUUCAGAGUAAUUUAGCAUGUUCAAUGUGAUACUUAAAACAUGAUGAGAAUGUUUGAUGUGAUCCUACACUUCAUUCAUAUGUGUUUAGUAUCAAAUCAUUUUUCAUGAAACAAAGCAUUCAAUGAUAUUAAUCAAAGUGAGUGAGUAUCAGAUCUGACUCUUUUACCAGCCAAAAGAACAAGUUAGAUCAAAUAAUCAGAGAUCCCAUGAACCCUCCUCUUUCUCCUCACACACACACGCCAGAGACACUCCCAGUGUGAGAAGAUAAAACCAGUGAAGUGGGGUUGCUCUUUUCUUAUCUGCUCUUCUCUUAUGCCCCGUACUCUUGUACCCUUCCUCUUCUCUCCUCUUCUUUGUUUUCUCUUAGAACUUUUUCUUAGUCUUCUAAGUUUUACGCCACAUGUUGAUUCACGUUGAUUUUUCUUUAACAUCGUCUUAGUUCAAGUUUUGAAACUUCAACUUUUUGUGCACAUAGCAAUUCAAGAUUAAGCCUUUGAUUGAUUUUCCUUUAAUUUCGCGAAGCCAUUUUUGAAAGUUUUCUCUGCUCGAGUCUCGUUUUUCUGAGUGAUCUGCGUGAUUUCAAAGUCACCUCUGAACGCAACCCAGCAGGCCCAGGUCAUCCUCUGUGCCAGAGUUUUUGAGUGAGACCAAAGAAGUACCCAAACGAGCAUCCACAGGAUCCACAGGCGCCGGCUUUGUUUCGGGCCCGAGUGCUGCAACUCCUGGCUCAUCCUUCGGCUGACUUCAGUCGUCUUCUGAGCUGAACCGCUCGAACCGCCAGUAGCCCCGGACCUUCGGAACCUGCUCCAUCUUCUCCAAGGACCAGUCUCACUUAAGUAUGCAAACCUCCAGAGCUCCAAAGAGGGCUGGUGCUGUCUCAUGCAUUCAUAACUCAGAUAUCCACUUAUUCUGGUAAUCUUAGAUUCCUCCAAAUCCACAUCCGAGUUUAUCUCGACACCAAAGUUAGUGUAGGUUAAUAUGUUAGCGCAUAUUCACUCACUAUCAUUAACUUUAGUGCUCCUAGCCUGACUCAGAAUCUUUAUUUAUUCACCUAUUAUUAUUUAUCCUCAUUAUCUUAUCAUCAUUUAUUGCAUGUAUGUUGUACCAUCAUUUAUCCUGUAAUAAACAAAUCAUUAUUUUUUUUAAGUUCUUGUCUGUUAGUGUUCUUCCAGAAGUGGAGUCCCUGAAAUUAGAAUUUCGACUUAAGAUAUGAGACUGAUUAAUUAAAACUGACUUGAUGUUUGAUUUCUGAAUUAAACUUUUGUUUUUCUUUAUUUUCCCACCAUUAAGGGUGGGUGGUGCCCCUUUCAACGAGUGCAUAAAUGUCAUAAUUUGAGAUUAUUAAUCUUCAGACAUUUAUUAUAAAUUCCAAUCGCUACAGUAGUAUUUUGGUGCAGCCGUGUGAGGCUCAUUUCAAAUCGCUACAGGUGAGAGGAGAGGCUGACAUGGUUGAAGUCUCCUGAUAUUAUUAUUAGUGCCUCCAGGUGUUGAGUCUGUAGCAACACUAUUAUGCAAAACAUUGCACAGAAUUUCUUCAGUUGAUUUGGGUGGGAUAUAAACAACUAUUGUUAUGAUAUGACUGAAUUCUCAACUGCCAACAGUUCAAUAUCUGGACAACACAACUUCUCCUUGACAGUUAUGUGUGAAGGGUUACAUCAUCUCUGGUUGACAAAUAAAGCCAGACCUCCUCCUUUCUUCUUGCUACUAGCUUGAGCAUCUCUGUCUGACCUUUUGAGAGUGAAGCCAGGCAGACCCACACUGGAGUCCAAGUUGUUUUGAUUCGACCAGGUUUCAGUAAAACACAAGAAACUGCACUCACGGUAUGCUUUCUCAGUCUUCACCAAUAUCUCCAGCUCGGAGAUAUUGGGCAGAGAGUUGACGUUUCCCAUGAUGGUUAAUUAAAGAAAGGGUUUAUAUCACCUAGCAUUCAGCUUUGCCUUCACCUUUUCACCAGAACGGCAACCAUGAUAACACCUCCUGAUGUCCUCAGUAAUUGUCUUUUGUUGUCCAUA
rnacentral:lncRNA from 1 species